rnacentral:rRNA from 1 species
AUUGAACGCUGGCGGCAGGCCUAACACAUGCAAGUCGAACGGUAACAGGAAGCAGCUUGCUGCUUUGCUGACGAGUGGCGGACGGGUGAGUAAUGUCUGGGAAACUGCCCGAUGGAGGGGGAUAACUACUGGAAACGGUAGCUAAUACCGCAUAACGUCGCAAGACCAAAAGGGGGACCUUAGGGCCUCUUGCCAUCGGAUGUGCCCAGAUGGGAUUAGCUAGUAGGUGGGGUAACGGCUCACCUAGGCGACGAUCCCUAGCUGGUCUGAGAGGAUGACCAGCCACACUGGAACUGAGACACGGUCCAGACUCCUACGGGAGGCAGCAGUGGGGAAUAUUGCACAAUGGGCGCAAGCCUGAUGCAGCCAUGCCGCGUGUAUGAAGAAGGCCUUCGGGUUGUAAAGUACUUUCAGCGGGGAGGAAGGGAGUAAAGUUAAUACCUUUGCUCAUUGACGUUACCCGCAGAAGAAGCACCGGCUAACUCCGUG